rnacentral:misc_RNA from 1 species
AACGGUCUAUACCUGCGGUACCUGCGGAAGGAUCAUUACAGAGUUGAAAAACUCCCAAACCCUUGUGAACAUACCUAACGUUGCUUCGGCGGUGCGGCCCUAGGCCGCUGCCUCCCUGUGAGGCGCCCGCCGGAGGUUUACAAACUCUAUGUAUUAUAUUGUCUUCUCUGAGUUGUCUUUUAAAUAAGUCAAAACUUUUAACAAUGGAUCUCU